rnacentral:rRNA from 1 species
AUACGAAGGGUGCAAGCGUUAAUCGGAAUUACUGGGCGUAAAGCGCGCGUAGGUGGUUCUGCAAGUUGGAUGUGAAAUCCCCGGGCUCAACCUGGGAACUGCAUCCAAAACUACUGAGCUAGAGUACGGUAGAGGGUGGUGGAAUUUCCUGUGUAGCGGUGAAAUGCGUAGAUAUAGGAAGGAACACCAGUGGCGAAGGCGACCACCUGGACUGAUACUGACACUGAGUUGCGAAAGCGUGGGGAGCAAACAGGAUUAGAUACCCUGGUAUUCCACGCCGUAAACGAUGUCGACUAGCCGUUGGGAUCCUUGAGAUCUUAGUGGCGCAGCUAACGCGAUAAGUCGACCGCCUGGGGAGUACGGCCGCAAGGUUAAAACUCAAAUGAAUUGACGGGG